rnacentral:rRNA from 1 species
GACGAACGCUGGCGGCGUGCCUAACACAUGCAAGUCGAGCGGAGACAGCGAGUAGCAAUACGAACUGUUUAGCGGCGGACGGGUGAGUAACGCGUGAGCAACCUGUCCCAAACAGGGGGAUAACGAACCGAAAGGUUCACUAAUACCGCAUAAGACCACAGAGUCACAUGGCUCAGGGGUCAAAGGAGAAAUCCGGUUUGGGGUGGGCUCGCGUCUGAUUAGCUAGUUGGUGGGGUAACGGCCUACCAAGGCGACGAUCAGUAGCCGACCUGAGAGGGUGAUCGGCCACAUUGGAACUGAGACACGGUCCAAACUCCUACGGGAGGCAGCAGUGGGGAAUAUUGGGCAAUGGGCGAAAGCCUGACCCAGCAACGCCGCGUGAAGGAAGAAGGUUUUCGGAUCGUAAACUUCUAUCCUUGGUGAAGAUAAUGACGGUAGCCAAGAAGGAAGCCCCGGCUAACUACGUG